CAACCACAGAUCAAAGAAUCAAUAAAACAAAAAGGCUAACCUGUGGCUAUGAAUAACAAUGUAACAAGAUGUGUCCAAAAGGCAGCAAAAUCUAUCUCAAAUUCUCAUCAGAGAGAGAGAGAGAGAGAGAGAAUGCAAAUAUAAACACGCAAACAAGUGGAGUCA